rnacentral:rRNA from 1 species
UAGCGUAAUCACUUGUUCUUUAAUUGAGGACUAGUAUGAACGGCCCCACGAGGACUACACUGUCUCCUUUUUCUAAUCAAUGAAACUGAUCUCCUCGUGAAGAAGCGAGGAUAAUUAUAUAAGACGAGAAGACCCUAUGGAGCUUUAAACAACCGGGGUACUUGCUAAUUCAUUUUAUAUCUUCUGAAAACUAAACAAAUUAAAGCAUCUUACCACCAAGUUUUAGGUUGGGGUGACCACGGAGAAAAAACUAACCUCCACGCUGUAAGAAAUCCACCAUCUUCUAAGCUUAGAGCCACAUUUCCAAGCAUCAACAUAUUGACUUCCAUUGACCCAAUAAUUUGAUCAACGAACCAAGUUACCCUAGGGAUAACAGCGCAAUCUACUUUAAGAGCUCAUAUCGACAAGUAGGUUUACGACCUCGAUGUU